AGAAAAAAAAGGAAAUGGAAACAGCAGAAGCUCGUCUCCAACGCUAUCGUCUUCCUCACUCUCUCUCAAACUCUCUCAGGCGAAAACCUCUCCCUGCUCUCAGAAUCACUAUCCCUCAAACUUACCCAAUCGUCUCUCAAAUGCACUCGAACGAACCCCCUCCCCUGCUCUCGAAAUCGCUCGCAUCUAUCUUUGAAACCUCUCUCUCAUCACGGCCUCACCGAAUCCCUCUCAAACAAACAAGAAAAACAAAGGCUAUUACAAAACAGGAAGCUCACCCUCGGACCUUUGAUGAAGAUGAUAACUCAGGGUUUCAAAGGUGCCUUUGGUAAUCCAGAAGAGUAACUCUGCAAAGCACUUUUUGAUGUUCAGAAACUGGAUUGACCCCUUUGAUGCUUGGCCUUGGAAAGUGAAAAAUGGUGUCUUCACUUGUUUUGCUGCAACAUGCUCGAAUUGGCCUUGCACUUGUUUGUUUCAUUUUGAUGGCGAAGUACUCCUUUUUUUUCAAUUUCCUCUGUUUGAACCAUGAUGCAGGACCUUGAAUUGGCUUGAGGUUGCAGAGUUAGACUUGCAUAAAGCAUGAGUGUAAGGUGUGAUAAUUCCUGCUUGUUUUUGCUAUAUUUGCUUCAGGUUUUGAAGCAUGAUGGUAUUGCUCGAUUGUCUUAAUCAUUGCAGAUGGUAAGAUGGAUUUGCUUGAUUGUCUUCAUAAUUGUAUUUGCAUUUCUGUUGUUUUGUUUUACAUCGCCAAUUGUUGUGGAUUUUGGAUGCACACAUGUUGCUGGAAACCUCAUGCUGCAGGACCUUGACACCUUGGCCAAGUUCAGAUGUGUGCUUAGUCUCAUAGCCGGGUUCUUGUCCUGGUUCCAACUCAUAUGAUGCAGAGCUAACUGUAGGAGCAUUGAUAGUUGUGGUAUGCUAAGGUUUGGUUAUUGUGGCGGCAUAAUCAUGGCCUUGUAGGAAUUUGUUGACUGGAUAUUGUAACAGCAGGUAUGACUCUGUGUAGCAUGAUUGACAUUGUUAUGACUCAAAUGGGAUAUAAUUACAUGACUUGCAUUAUCUGUUGACUGCUCCUGCUACAGACUGUAGGUUUAUUACUUGCAAGGGAGCAUGGAUGGCUACUAAUGUUGGUUGUGUCGGCUGCUAGGUUGAAGUCCCAUGUGGUGGCUUGGUCUGCACAUGGUAUGGUAGUCUUGCAAUGUGUCUGACUUGGUUUUGUUGGUGUAACACAAUUGGGUAGGCUUAGGAACUGGUUUUGUGGUCAUGAGCUACCACACACAUGUAAUGAUGUUGUGGCUUACUUGUGGUCUUGGUAUUGAUACGAAUUCAGUCUGCUAGCUGAUGUUGCUUGGGACAGGUCUUGACUUGACGCAGAUUGGUGCCUAACACGUGCAAGGUUGUCUCAAUGGUCAUGUUUUGCACUCAGGUUUGGUUCUAGUUGCUACAACCUCCAUGAGCCUCUCUCAUCAUUAUGAGUUCAAAACCAAAUGCAUGUGUAUUGGUAUGUCCAAAUGGUCAUGUAGGUGUCAUGUUGCAGCUGGUAGGUAUUGGUCAUGCAGUCUCCUGUUGCAACAGAUGUUCAGUGCUGCAGAAUUAUGGUGUUUGAUGCAGGAUUGGCUCGCAUCUGUUGGUUAUGCCAUGGUGAACACAUGUUACUGCUGUUUGUUAAUGGACUGAAUGCUACUCCAAGGUACAUGGCUGCAGCUGGUCAUGGUAUGCUACAGGAUUGCUGAAGGGUCUGCUGCAGUAACAAGGCAAGAAGUGUUACAUUUGGAUUAAGCAUCAGAUGAUGGAUUCAAUGGUGUCACAUUGUAUUGUGUUAGGGUCAUUAGGACUUGGUUUGGGGCAGACCAAAACCAAGGUUUGAAAAGCCAAAAUGCCAAGCAAGGCAAGGUACAUAUGAGAUUGAAAAUAAAGCCACUUGCUUGGAAAUGAAGCAACCAAAAGAAAACACAACCAACAUGGCAAUUGGAUGAAGAAUCAAGGAAAAAGGGCUAGAUUAGGUUUUGGAUGGUCAGAAGACGGGUGAAUUGACUUUGGUCAAAGUUGACCAAAAAAGUCAACUGUUGACCAAAUUCAACAACUGGUCAAAGUUCAUUUUUUUUGUAUUUUUUCUUGUAAAUGGAUAUUCAAUGGAAAAUUA